CCUACGGGAGGCAGCAGUCGGGAAUAUUGCGCAAUGGAGGAAACUCUGACGCAGUGACGCCGCGUAUAGGAAGAAGGUUUUCGGAUUGUAAACUAUUGUCGUUAGGGAAGAGAAAGGACAGUACCUAAGGAGGAAGCUCCGGCUAACUACGUGCCAGCAGCCGCGGUAAUACGUAGGGAGCGAGCGUUAUCCGGAAUUAUUGGGUGUAAAGGGUGCGUAGACGGGAAUGCAAGUUAGUUGUGAAAUCCCUCGGCUUAACUGAGGAACUGCAACUAAAACUACAUUUCUUGAGUGCAGGAGAGGUAAGUGGAAUUCCUAGUGUAGCGGUGAAAUGCGUAGAUAUUAGGAGGAACACCAGUGGCGAAGGCGACCUGCUGGAACAUUACUGACGCUGAUGCACGAAAGCGUGGGGAGCAAACAGGAUUAGAUACCCCCGUAGUC
rnacentral:rRNA from 1 species